CAAAAUUGAGCUCAACAGUGAAAGAAAUUAAGAGCGUGGUUACAUGGGGGCUUGGUUUUAACCAGGCUGCCUCAUAUAGGCUAGCACCGGGGCCAAUCAUUUUACCCAAGUAGCCUUUAAUAUCAUGGCCUUAAUUAGGCCAACAUGAUGUUAGUAUCAACAACAAUAAGUCGAUUCCUAAACUCAUUCAUGAAUUACCUUAGACCUCAAGAUGCCAUCAAUCUAAAAACAUUAAACUUUGAGGUUAAUAAGCUGAGAAUACUCAACAAUUCAAACAUAUCUCCUUCGGAGACAUACAGUAUACACUCCACUUGUUUCAACAAAGUCCAAAUAAAUUACUACAACUGCUAAGCAUCCCAAACUGUCAAACCAUACAUGAAACUACUAAACUAAUUCAAACCUUCAAAAACCUAAAUACUUUGACUAAAUUAUAGAGUAGAGAAUCAAUUUUAGCAUGCUUAAACAACAGCUUGAAAGAAACUACGAAACAAAAAGAGAAUAGAAGACAUCAAGCAAAGAAGAAGAUCUGAAGUUCUAUUCUAGGACAACAUGUUACAAAUUCAUUUUUGUCAUUUCAAGGCUCACAAAAAUAUCUGGAUACAAAAAAGAAUCAAAGUGAGAGAAUCUCUAAAAAAAAUAACAGAAAUCAGGUAGUAAUUUCAAUGGAAAUCAGCAGCAUACAACAGCACAACUCCAAUAGCUCCAAAGCUUAAACCAUAUUCUGUCUUAGCGGACUAGAAAUCCCAGGAAAUUUAUUGAAUUUCUAUUAUAAAAAACCUAGGAAAUUCAAUUGAGCUUCUAUUUUAAAAAAACCCAUAAAAUUUGAUCUACUCUAAUAAAACAGUAGAGCUGAACCUUUUGGAAUGUUUUAGGAUCUUUUUGAGUAUGAAUAUCUUAAUGGAGUAGUAACUUUUCUUUAUAUAGGGCAUUCAAAGAAUACUCUGACAAGAAAUAGCAUUCAAAGAAUAUUCUGACCUAAAUUCUUUUAAUAGCACAACAUAUUGACAGAGAAUAAUGUAAAUUUGUCAAUUUUUUCAACAUCUUUUAAAAUAAAUUCUUGAUAGCUGGUACAUUUCUAGAACACUUCUCUAAAGUCUGGGCCAUUGUUAUGGACAAAUAGCCUAAGACAAACCCAAGUCAUGGCCAGAUGGCCCAAGACACGCCCAAGAACAAAACAAACAAAAACAACCGCUAAAGAUUACUCCAGCAAAUCAUUUAACUCUUAUGAAAUUAAUUAGCAACUUAAUCAACUAAUAACUAAAUUCAAUCAACCUAGGAGAUACGAAAAAGAGUUGAUAAUUAGUAAUUAACUCGACUAAGCUGAAACUUACGCGAUUGACCAAACAGAAACACUGACAUUAAACUAUCUAAAAACUAAUUCAAACAAGUGAAUACUGAGAACUAAUUUUAAAAAAAAUAAAUCAUAAAACUAGUUUACAACUAAUAAUCCAAACUAAUUCAAACAAGUAAAAUAUUUGAAUUAAUUUAAACAAGUAUACAAUUAAACUAAUUUAAACAAUUAAAUACCUAAACCAAAUUCAAACAAGAAGAUAGUCAAAAAUUAAUUCAAACAACUAAAAGAUAUAAAAAAAAUUAGAAAAUAGAAACAAAAACGGAAACAAAAGAAAAGAUAGAAGAAGGGUACUGGUUCUUAACCGGAAUGAACUAAUGACUGAAGCGACCUAGCGAACAAGGGAGGCGACGACCUUGGCCAGACACCUAUGAUUUGGUCAGGAAGCAGCGACCCUCUAAACAAGCCAAGACUAGUGUUUGGUCAAUUGUUUUUAGCACGAGCAAUUUCUUAUCACAAGUCUCAAGUCAGAUCGAUCCUUGGAAGCAAGAAAUCAUAAUUAGGGCGGAUUAGGGUUUUCUGUAAAAUUUUAGAUCCGAAUUUUUGAGAGUUUGUAGGGUUAUUUUGAGGAAUCAACAUGGGAUUUAGGUUUAGGGGAAUGUGGAGGUUAUAGGGUGAAGAUUUUGAGGUGUUUGGAGACCGGCUGCCGCCAUAAAAUGAUUUUAGGUGGGCGGCGGCUAGGGUUUAUGCCAUGUGAAAUGGGGUGCAUUUUAGGGUGGCUAGGGUUAGGCUUUAGAUCAAAGACGGGGAAAUGGN
rnacentral:lncRNA from 1 species